rnacentral:rRNA from 1 species
AUGACUUGCUUCUCGUGGAAGCUCAUAUGGAAGAAUUGGGCGCCGCCAAGAGUGAAGUUUUUUCACUGGUUGGCCAGCCAAGACCGGUGCUGGACGGCUGACCGCUUGGCUCGACGCGGUCUCCAGCACCAGCCAAGAUGCCCACUCUGUGACCAGGCUCUCGAGACGAUGCGCCACCUCCUCUUGGAGUGCCCCUUCGCCAGGCAGACUUGGCACGAAAUCCUGUCCUGGCUACGGAUGACCACUGCAGGGCCAAGCCACGAAGAUUCACUGAUGGACUGGUGGCUACAGGCAAGGCAAAACACGCCAACACUGAUGCGUAAGGGCCUAGCCUCCAUUGCUCUGUUGAUGCCAUGGAUGAUCUGGAAACAGCGCAACAAAUGCAUCUUUGAGGGCGCCCAGCCCCUGGUUCAGGUCCUGGUCUCGAAGAUCAAAGAGGAAGCCAAGGAGUGGGCAAGAGCGGGCGCCCACGGCCUACGCGUCAUCCUGCCGCCCACCUGGGACGUGCACUAG